AGGGCCACACCCAUGGCAUAUGGAGGUUCCCUGGCUAGGGGUCCAAUCAGAGCUAUAGCCACUGGCCUAUGCCACAGCCACAGCAACAUCAGAUCUGAACUGUGUCUGUGACCCACACCAUAGCUCACGGCAAUGCCAGAUCCAUAACCCACUGAGCGAGGCCAGGGAUCAGACCCGCAACCUCAUGGUUCCUAGUCAGAUUCAUUUCCACUGCGCCAUGACGAGAACUCCUUAUUUGCAUUUUUAACUUAAUAUAAUGAUGACUAUUUUUUCACAUCUGUUAGACAAUUGUAUCCUUGUUUUAUAAAAAUUUUAGUUAAUUCUUUUGCUCAUUAUUCUCUUAGGUUGCCUUUUAAAGUAAAUAGUUCUUAUAUAAAGAAUACUAUUUUUUGGUAAAUAUGUUAUAGUUUGCCAUUUGUCUUUGACGAUACUUAUGAUAUUUUAUGAAGCACAUAAGUUUCAUAUUUAUCUGAAAUUUAUCAAUCAUUUUAAUUAUGGUUUCUGUCUUUGCUGUUACAUAAUAAAAACACUGUAUCACUCUGAGUACAGGUAGCAUUCAUUUUUCUAAUAAUGUCUGGGCAUUCAAUGUUUGCCUUUUUUUCAAAAUAUGAAUGGCUUAUUUUCUGAUAAUAAAAUUAUAUCCACAAUGAAAAGAUAAAAUAUAGAUAACUACAUAAAUAAAAAUAAAGGUGUCUCUAAUCUAAUCACCCAAAAUAAACUAUUGCUCUGAAGAGGGUAUCCCUAGUGUGUUCAUUUCAGUAUCAAUCAAAACAUGUACAUGACGAAAGAACCUACCAAAACCUGGGAAAGAACUACCUGAGAAGAUUAGAGGAAUCCUUCUCAGUCUCCUAAAAGGCAUGGAAAAGUACCUGUUUCUAACAGCCAGAUCUGAAAAUUUCAUGGUUCAUGGGCAUUUGAUGGAGAACACAAAAGGAUUCUCCUUAGUAGUGGAGUAUAAAUUAUAAGAGACUGAAUUACUAUAAGGUAGUACCUAACAAAUUUUAAAAGCAAGAUCCAGACCCGAAAAGAUCAAGAUUGUUUCCAAGCAAUAUAAAUGUAUCCUAAAACAAGACUUAAGAAUAUUUGAAGGAAUACAAAACUAUCUAGCACUCAACAAGGUAAAAUCCACAAUGGUGCUUGGCAAUUUUCUAAGUGCCAAUCAAAAUUUACCAGUCAAGGAGUUCCUGUCGUGGCUCAGUGGUUAACAAAUCCAACUGGGGGCCAUGAGGUUGCGGGUUCAAUCCCUGGCUUUGCUCAGUGGGUUAAGGAUCUGGCAUUGCCACGAGCUGUAUUGUAGGUCACAGACACAGCUCAGAUCCCACAUUGCUGUGGCUGUGGCAUAGGCUAGCGGCUAUAGCUCUGAUUAGACCCCUAGACUGGGAAUCUCCAUAUGCCAGAUGGGAGCGGCCCUAGAAAAGGCAAAAAAGAUAAAUAAAAAAAAAUUACCAAUAAUAAAAUCAGAAGAUCAAUCGGUUAUUAUAACUUUAUACUAUAGGCUCAAAAAGUCAUGUAGAGACAUAGAAGAAACAAAAAUAACUUAAAUCAAACUUCUGUAUAUAGAAACUAUCACAUCUGAAAUGAAAAAUACACUGAGGGAAAAAAUAGCAGGUAGAUAUUGCAGAAGGAGGGAUUAGUAAGUUUGAAAAUGUUGCAUUAGAAGAUAUACAAAAUGAAAAUAGAAUCAAAAAUAUUUUUUAAAAAAGAGAAUCAGUGACCAUUCGAGUAUUCUAAUUACAAGUGUUGGACAACAGGAUUUUGGCCAACAAAGUGGCAAUAGAAAAAACAUUUGAAGAAAUAAUGGUAGGAAGUUUUACAGAUUUGUUGAAAAUAAUAAAUGCACAAAUGCCAGUUCAAUAAAACCAAAGCACAAGGCACAUGAUGAAAACUAUACUGGGGCACAGUGUAAUUAAGUAGUCCACAAUCUGUGAUGAAAGGAAACAUCUUAAAUGAAGCUAGAAAAAAAAAAAGAUCUUUAUGUACUGAAAAAAAAUUAAAUAAGAAAGGCAGCAGAUAGCAUGUCAUAAACAAUGAAAAGGAAAGAGUGGAACAAUCUCUUUGAAUUAUUGGAAGAAAAAGUAACAACUUAAAUUUCCAUACCUCAGCAAAAAUAUCCUUCAAAAAUGAAGAUGAAAUAAAGACUUUUUCAGAUAUGCAAAAGCUGAAGGAAUUCAUUAUAGUAAACACACUCAACAAGAAACUUUAAAAGGAAAUCUAUCAAGUGGAAGGGACAUAAUCUCAGAUAAAAUACGAAUAUAGACAAAGGCAUGAAGAGCAUGAAAUGGGACUACAGCAGUAAAUACAUGUGUCUUUAAAAAAUAAUUGACCCUUUAAAUGAAAGAAACAACAAUGUAGAGUUUAUAAAAUACAAAAAAGUCAAAUAUGUGACAAUAAAAAAAAGACUUGGGAAAGUUCCAUGGUAGCCUAGAAAGUUAAGGAGCCAAUGUUGUCACUGCUGUGGUGCAGGUUCAAUCCCUGGCCCAGGAUGUUCUGCAUCAUGAAGUCUCAGCCAAAAAAAAAAAAAAAAAGAAAGAAAAAAAAUGGGAAAAGACAUGAAAGUAUACUAUUGCAAGGUUUGUGAACUGUUGAACUAUAUACAUGAAGUUGUAUAACAUCGUAAGACCACAGACUCAAAAUUAAUAAUCACUUUACAUGUAAAGCAUCAAAACAGUCAACUAAAUAUCAAAGAUUAUCUUACUGAACAAAAAUCCAAUUAUAGAAAUACCAUACGGGAGUUUCCUGGUGGUUCAGCAGGUUAAGGAUCCAGUGUUAUUACUGCUAUGACUAUAGUGUGGGUUCAAUCCCAGACCCUGGUAUUUUGCAUGCCAUGAGUGCAGCCAAUUUUACAUAUAUCAUAUGAUCCAGCAAUGCCAUGUCUGGGUAUAUAUCCAAUAGGGAUAAGACUGCUAUCUCAAUGAGAUCUAAUGAGCCAUAUUCAUUGCAGCAUUAUUUAUAAUAGCCAAGUCAAGGAAACAACAAUGAACCUAAGGUUCAUUGACAGAUGAAUGGAAAAGGAAAAUACAUGUCUGUGUAUACAUAUAAUAUUAUUCAGCUUUUAAAAAUGGGGAAUACUACCAUUUGCAACAACAUGGAUGGACCCUGAGGGCAUUAUGCUAAGUGAAAUAAGUCAGAUAGAGAAAUACAAAAGCAUGAUCUCUCUUAUAUACAGAAUCUCAAAACAUCUGAACUCAUAGAAACAGAGAAUGGAUUGCCUGAGAUAGGAGUUAGGGCAAUGGGGAAAUGGGUAAAGGUGCCCAAGAGAUACAAACUUCCCAGCUAUAAGGUAAGUAUGUUCUAGAGAUACACUGUACAGCAUUUUGACUAGAAUUAACAAUAUUUUAUUAUAUAUUUAAAAGUUGCUGUGAGAGUAGAUUUUAAAAGUUAUCACUGUAAGAAAAAGUGUGUAACUAUGUGAGAUGAUGAAUAUUAACAAAAUUUAUUGUGGUAACCAUUUCACAAUAUAUACAUGUAUCAAGUCAUUAUAUUGCGCAUUAUAAAAUAAUACAAUGUUAUAUGUCAAUUGUAUCUCAAUAAAAGAGAAGGAGGUAACAAAACCCAAUUACACACUGCCUACAAGGAACACACAUCAAAAAUAAAGACACAUGCAGAAAAGGUGGCCAAAAUGGAGGAGUAGUAAGUCCUUGAACCCACCUCUUCCCACAGACAUACCAAAAUUACUAAUACUUACAGAGCAACUAUCUAUGAUAAUGACCUGAAGACUAGCAGAAACAAAUUUCCACAACUAAAGACAUAAAGAGGGAACUAUAAUGAGACAGGUAAGAGGCACAGAAAUACAGUAUAGUCAGAACACACAUCCCUGGGCCAGUUACCCAAAAUGGGGAGAAUAUCACAACUGCAGAGAUCUUCCCCAAGGGGUAAGGAGUCCAAGCCUCACACUGGGCUCCCCAGCUUGGGAGUCUUGCCCAAGGAAUACAAACCCCCAGAAUGUCUGGCUUUGAAAACCAGCAGGACUUUUGCUUUGGGUAGCUGGAGGGCUAUAGGAAAGAGAUACUCCACUCUUAAAGGACAUGCGCAAAACCUCAUCUUCUCCAAGUCUCAACAUAGAGGUAGUAGUUUAAAAAGAUCUUUGGCCAGGCCAUUUACUGAUCUUAGAAAGCCUCCCAGAGGGGUAGGAGACAACUUGGACUUCCUGUAGGAACGGAGAUGCUGGUAGCAGCCACCUUUCAGGAGCUUUUUCUACUGCAAUAACAAUGGCGCUGGUGAGCCCCAUUUUGGAACCCUCCCUCUAGCCAAUUAGGACCAGGGCAUACCUGCCUUGCAGCAGGCCAGUACCAGCCUCAAGCCCUGUCUCCAGACCAUUCAGACAAUGGUGAGACAACCCAGCCCUGCCCACUAGGGUAGUGACACCAAACACAAAGACCACAAUGGGACCCAACUGUCACUCACCAGCAGAUGAGCACUAGAGCUGAGGCCCCUCUGGGCCAUGCAGACAGCCUCAUAGGAACCUGGCCCUAUGUAGCAGCUAGUUAGCAGUGCCUGUGCACCUUUCUUGGACCAAAACAGCCAACUAUGUGGGAGGCCCACUCUAUGUUC
rnacentral:lncRNA from 1 species